rnacentral:rRNA from 1 species
AGCUAAUCUGCCCUACACUAGAGGACAACAGUUGGAAACGGCUGCUAAUACUCUAUACUCCUGUCUUACAUAAGUUAGAUAGGGAAAGUUUUUCGGUGUAGGAUGAGGCUAUAUUGUAUCAGCUAGUUGGUGAGGUAAUGGCUCACCAAGGCUAUGACGCAUAACUGGUCUGAGAGGAUGAUCAGUCACACUGGAACUGAGACACGGUCCAGACUCCUACGGGAGGCAGCAGUAGGGAAUAUUGCUCAAUGGGGGAAACCCUGAAGCAGCAACGCCGCGUGGAGGAUGACACUUUUCGGAGCGUAAACUCCUUUUGUUAGGGAAGAACAAUGACGGUACCUAACGAAUAAGCACCGGCUAACUCCGUGCCAGCAGCCGCGGUAAUACGGAGGGUGCAAGCGUUACUCGGAAUCACUGGGCGUAAAGGACGCGUAGGCGGAUUAUCAAGUCUCUUGUGAAAUCCUAUGGCUUAACCAUAGAACUGCUUGGGAAACUGGUAAUCUAGAGUGAGGGAGAGGCAGAUGGAAUUGGUGGUGUAGGGGUAAAAUCCGUAGAGAUCACCAGGAAUACCCAUUGCGAAGGCGAUCUGCUGGAACUCAACUGACGCUAAUGCGUGAAAGCGUGGGGAGCAAACAGGAUUAGAUACCCUGGUAGUCCACGCCCUAAACGAUGUAUACUAGUUGUUGCUAAGCUAGUCUUGGCAGUAAUGCACCUAACGGAUUAAGUAUACCGCCUGGGGAGUACGGUCGCAAGAUUAAAACUCAAAGGAAUAGACGGGGACCCGCACAAGCGGUGGAGCAUGUGGUUUAAUUCGAAGAUACGCGAAGAACCUUACCCGGACUUGAUAUCUAACAAAUCA